ensembl:lncRNA
AGUAAGCCUGAGAGAUUAAUUGAUUCAUGUUUGCUCCGUAUUUUAUUUAUUUCUCUCCAGUAACAGAGCAGCCGACCGGUGCUAUCGAGAGACAGUGAGCAGUGUCAUUGUCAUGUGAAAGCUUGCUUUUCUGGCUGUGGAGGAUCUAAAUACGGGGCGGGAAAUGGAUGGAGCUUGGAAAAGAAGGUUCCGGGUGGCUUGGAUUAAUGUCAUGUCUCUGGCUAUACUGUUUUUCUCCCAAAGUGCAUCUCUUUCAUUGGUUUAUCAGGCACAUCAGCUUGAUAAAAUCUAUUCGAUGAAUGGAAAUAGCAACAGUAAUGGCAGUGGGACAAAAUACUCAGAACUUCAGUUAACAGCUCCUUAUGCUACAGAAAUUGGCAGUCACAGUAUCAUCCUCUCAUGGGGGCCCUUAAACCAGUCUGAUGCCACCUAUAUCCCUCAAUGGACC